UAAGGAAUAUUGCUCAAUGGGAGAAAUCCUGAAGCAGCAACGCCGCGUGGAGGAUGAAGGGUCUAUGACUUGUAAACUCCUGUAAAGAAGGAAAAAAUUCCCAUUUGAUGGGAGAUGAUGGUACUUCUGGAGUAAGCCCCGGCUAACUACGUGCCAGCAGCCGCGGUAAUACGUAGGGGGCAAGCGUUGUCCGGAUUUACUGGGUGUAAAGGGUGCUCAGGCGGAUUUGUAAGUCAGAGGUGAAAUCUUACAGCUUAACUGUGAAACUGCCUUUGAUACUGCAAGCCUAGAGUAUGGAAGAGAGUGAUGGAAUAUCUGGUGUAGCAGUGAAAUGCGUAGAUAUCAGAUAGAACACCAAUGGCGAAGGCAGUCACUUGGUCCAUUACUGACGCUAAAGCACGAAAGCGUGGGUAGCGAACA
rnacentral:rRNA from 1 species